rnacentral:rRNA from 1 species
CGGCGAGUGAGCGGCAACAGCUCAAAUUUGAAAGCUAGCCUUCGGGUUCGCAUUGUAAUUUGUAGAGGAUGAUUUGGGGAAGCCGCCUGUCUAAGUUCCUUGGAACAGGACGUCAUAGAGGGUGAGAAUCCCGUAUGUGACAGGAAAUGGCACCCUAUGUAAAUCUCCUUCGACGAGUCGAGUUGUUUGGGAAUGCAGCUCUAAAUGGGAGGUAAAUUUCUUCUAAAGCUAAAUAUUGGCGAGAGACCGAUAGCGCACAAGUAGAGUGAUCGAAAGAUGAAAAGCACUUUGGAAAGAGAGUUAAAAAGCACGUGAAAUUGUUGAAAGGGAAGCGCUUGCAAUCAGACUUGUUUAAACUGUUCGGCCGGUCUUCUGACCGGUUUACUCAGUUUGGACAGGCCAGCAUCAGUUUCGGCGGCCGGAUAAAGGCUCUGGGAAUGUGGCCUCCACUUCGGUGGAGGUGUUAUAGCCCAGGGUGUAAUACGGCCAGCCGGGACUGAGGUCCGCGCUUCGGCUAGGAUGCUGGCGUAAUGGUUGUAANCGACCCNUCUUGAAACACNNACCANCA